AUUGAACGCUGGCGGCAGGCCUAACACAUGCAAGUCGAACGAGUGGCGGACGGGUGAGUAAUGUCUGGGAAACUGCCUGAUGGAUGGGGAUAACUACUGGAAACGGUAGCUAAUACCGCAUACCAUCAGAUGUGCCCAGAUGGGAUUAGCUUGUUGGUGGGGUAACGGCUCACCAAGGCGACGAUCCCUAGCUGGUCUGAGAGGAUGACCAGCCACACUGGAACUGGGAAACGGCCCAGAAUCCUACGGGAGGCAGCAGUGGGGAAUAUUGCACAAGGGGGGCAAGCCUGAUGCAGCCAUGCCGAGUGUAUGAAGAAGGCCUGGGGGUUGUAAAGUACUUUCGGCGGGGAGGCGUUACCUGAAGAAGAAGCACCGGCUAACUCCGUGCCAGCAGCCGCGGUAAUUC
rnacentral:rRNA from 1 species